rnacentral:rRNA from 2 species
AGCGGGAAGCUCAAAUUUAAAAUCUGGCGGCUUUGGUCGUCCGAGUUGUAUCCUAGAGAAGUGUUUUCCGCGUUGGACCGUGUAUAAGUCUCUUGGAACAGAGCGUCAUAGAGGGUGAGAAUCCCGUCUUUGACACGGACUACCAAUGCUUUGUGAUACACUCUCAAAGAGUCGAGUUGUUUGGGAAUGCAGCUCAAAAUGGGUGGUAAAUUCCAUCUAAAGCUAAAUAUUGGCGAGAGACCGAUAGCGAACAAGUACCGUGAGGGAAAGAUGAAAAGCACUUUGGAAAGAGAGUUAAACAGUACGUGAAAUUGCUGAAAGGGAAACGAUUGAAGUCAGUCGCGUUAGCUAGAACUCAACCAGGCUUGCUUGGCGUAUUUUCUAGUUAACGGGCCAGCAUCAGUUUUGACUGCAGGAAAAAGGCCAGGGAAAUGUGGCACCUUCGGGUGUGUUAUAGUCUUUGGUCAUAUACUGCGAUUGGGACUGAGGUUCGCAGCACGCGCAAGCUGUGCUUAGGAUGCUGGCGUAAUGGCUUUAAACGACCCG